GUUCCUGUAGUUGAAUACAAUAACGGCUUUUCAAGCCGUAGGUCUCGGAUAGUUGCUGAGCAGGAAUA
rnacentral:tRNA from 1 species